GAACAACCUUUUCCAGACACUUUUUCUCACCCGCCGUUGUCCUUGGAGACAAUCAAUCUCCAUUCAAAACAAUCACGAAAAAGUGAAAAGCGAGCCAUUGCAAAGGAGAGCGAUUUCGAGUAAAAAAUGAAAUGAAAAGAAAAUCAAAGUAAGCAAAAAAUUAAAUCUAGACAGCAACAAAAAACGACAAAGUUCAACGCGCAAAGAAAAACUUGUUUACAUCUUAUAGGGCGAAAAAACGUAAAAAUGAAUAAAAUAAAAACACGCGAAAAAUGCAACAACAAAACGAGAGCAUUGAAAAAACUCCAAGAAUUUUUUGCUGCGUGGCACGCGAGAGCAAAACGCAGUCAAGAGCAAGGAUAUCCAUGAAAGAAGCAGUAGAAAAGCGUCGCGUCCGCUUGUGCCGGGCAGAGGAGAAGGCAGCUGGACUUAGACUGGAAUUGUCAUGGGGAGGGAAUCCAAGCGAGGGGAGGAGUGGGUGAGGACUCGCGUCUCGUUUCCGUUCAUGUGGCAACAGACAGAGACGGUUUGGGUUUGGUCAGUUGCCGACUGAAGUUCGAGUCGAGUGAAAGUGCAGCAGUGUUGGACAGCAGCUGCCCAAGCAGCUUUGAAACAGGAGUUGGAGUCCUUUGAGCAGCGCCGCAGCAGCACAGGAAUGAGUUGUCAUGAAGCUGGUUCGCUGCGUGGUCAAGGUCCUUGCACUUGCGGCAGACCUUUGAGCGAGCCUACGAACCGCAACUGAUGCGUUUAACAACUAUGCAAAGAGUGCAUUAGGAUGACUCAAGCAAAGGAACUACUGUCGUAUACUAACAUGUUCGACCCGCUCUGCAUCGUGAUUUUUGUUUUGGAUCUGCUGCUUUUCCUUGGCUUCAG